rnacentral:rRNA from 1 species
GACGAACGCUGGCGGCGUGCUUAACACAUGCAAGUCGAACGGAAAGGCCCUUCGGGGUACUCGAGUGGCGAACGGGUGAGUAACACGUGGGUGAUCUGCCCUGCACUUUGGGAUAAGCCUGGGAAACUGGGUCUAAUACCGAAUAGGACCGCGCGCUUCAUGGUGUGUGGUGGAAAGCUUUUGCGGUGUGGGAUGGGCCCGCGGCCUAUCAGCUUGUUGGUGGGGUAAUGGCCUACCAAGGCGACGACGGGUAGCCGGCCUGAGAGGGUGACCGGCCACACUGGGACUGAGAUACGGCCCAGACUCCUACGGGAGGCAACAGUGGGGAAUAUUGCACAAUGGGCGCAAGCCUGAUGCAGCGACGCCGCGUGAGGGAUGACGGCCUUCGGGUUGUAAACCUCUUUCACCAGGGACGAAGCGCAAGUGACGGUACCUGGAGAAGAAGCACCGGCCAACUACGU